AUAUCAGACAUUUAAUAGCAUCACUGGCAACUAGAAAACAAUGCAAAAAUAUUUUGACGAUUCUGAAGGAGUGUUUUUAUAUUCUAGAAUUCUCUCUCCAUCCAGGUUUCCAAGCAAGUACCAGAGUAGAAAUAACAAUUUUUACAGAUGAUAAAGAUGUAACUAUGUAUCACCUACCAUAGGUAUCCUUUUGGGGGAAACUAUGGGAGAAUGUGCUCCUCAAAAACAAGGGGGGAAAGGAAUAGAAUUAUAUAAGAAAAGAAAUGCACAUAUAGCAUACUACAUGACUUAGCUGUCAUAUUUACAUUAUUUAUACAUUAUUCUGAUAUGUACUAUAUAUACUAACAUUGAAUAUUGUGUUAACUCAAAAUUUUAUAAAACUAUCAUAAGGAGAAAGAAAUAGGGAAAGUGUGAAUGGAGUAGUGAAAAUAGAGUUAAAUUUUAAGCUCCUCUAGCAGGAAGUCUAAACUAACACUAACAACAUCAACCCCAGUGACUUGCUUUGACCAACAGAAAGCAGCAGAAAAAUACUGUACAUCUUUAGAAGCUGGGCCCUAAGAAGCUGUUUUGGGUGGUUUAAUGCAUUCACAUGGCUAGGCUACAGUCCCCAGUUACUCAAUCAAAUAUUAACCUAGAUGUUUCUGUGACGGUAUUUGGUAGAAGCGAUUAAUGUCCAUAAUCAGCUGAUUUUUAGGUAAGGGAGAGUAUCUGAAAUAAUCUUAGUGGAUUCAAUCAGUUUUAUGGACUUAAGAGCAGAACUGAGGCUUUACUGAAGAAAUCUGUGGACUACAGAUUUGGCUCAUGUCUGAGAGUUUCCAGCCUGCCCUUCCUGAUGGGCUGUCUCAUGGAUUUUGAGCUGGCUAGCCCCUACAAUUGUGUAAGCCAAUUCCUUGAAAUAAAUUUCUUACUAUGGUCCUCCAAAAACAAAAAAAAUCAAGAAAUAGUCUUGUUAGCAUGUUAUUCAUGCUAAAUAAACUUAUUUAUAUAAAAAAGAAAUAUGGAGGAAAUUCUAAAACAAAGGAUGAAGAAAACUAAAACUGGUGACAUCUUGGCAUAAGAAUCAGUGUUAGUGGUAUAAGCGACUGAAAAAUUCACAGUUGACUACCAGUUUUAAAAAUUAUUCUAACAGUGAAAGAAUAGGAAAAAAAAAAAAGACUAUCCUUAAGGACAUGAAUGGUUUUUACCAAACAUAGGUUAAAUAUUUCACUAUAUUCACAUUAAAGUUAAAAGAAACUGUUUGCUCUCUCUCUUUAACGUUGUACUGGAGUUUAUAGUCAAUACAUGAAAUAAGAAAAAGAAAGAACUGAUAGGUUUAUGAAGAAGUGAUACUUUUUUAUCAUUUAUGGGUAUUAUAAUUACAUGUAGAAAUGCAAAAGAAACUCUGGGUAAAUAAUUGAAAUAAACAAUGGAGUAUAUCAAGAUUUCAGAAUAUCAAUAUACUGAGGAUCUUUCUGUCUCAGGGUCUACAUAUUUGCUAUUCUCUCAUCUUCCUGCAAGAUAUUAGAACAACUUUCUUCCUUACCAUAUUCAUGUUCUUUCUCCUUGUGCCAUUAUUUUUAUUUAUAGCAUUUAUGAAUAUCCCCAAAUAUAAGACAUCCUUCCCUACUGGACUGUAAGCUUAUAUAUUUGAGAAACUCUCAAAUAUUUCUACAAAACAUAUAAGGACAUUAUUGUGGCAUUAUUAGAAAUAGUAUAACCUUGUAAAUAGCUUAGGUGCCAUCUCAAACCCAUAACAUUUAUUAUAAAUAGCAUAACCUUGGAAAUAGCUUAGUUGUCCACAUCAAACCCAUAACGUUGAGUGAGAAAACAACCAAAGAGCACCACAAUAUGUAUGGUCUUAUACAAAUGAUAUAAAUUUAAAGAUACAUAUACAAAUGCUCAACAGAAGGUAUACACUGUCCUCUGGAGAAAGGAAGGGAGGCAGCCUUAGAGGAGGGUAUGGAGGACUUCAACAUUGUUUCUCUGAUGUUUCAGUUCCUAGAGAUGUUCUGAGUCAAAUAUGACUAAGUGCCAAUAUUUACGCAUUUGGGAUAGCAUGUACACAGGUGUUACACAGCAUCCUUUAUACCUAUUUGUUGGCCUUUAUUUGGUUUUAGAGAGUUUUUCUUGUGUGCUUGUUUUUUGCCUUCCAAAUUUAAAGAUAAAUGCAGAUAAAAAAGACAGAAUUCUAUUUUCAAAAACAAGAAUAGAAAAAAAGAAAAGGUAUACAAAGCUAAGAAGAUGGACAUUAAAAAGGAGAACUGGUUUGGCAGAUAAAAACCAAGAGAGACCUGGACUAAGAUACAAAUGCUCAAGAACAAUUUUGAGACAAUUUCUGCUACAACUCACUUGUAAUUAGCAGAAUCCUAUCACAUUAUCUCAAUCCAUCAAAACAUAACAGAAUGGAAUGCUCUGCACCCUUAUUUUUAGGAAAUGACCUUGAGAUUUGGAAGAAAGAGCAUACUAUAAACAUAAAAUGCAAUUAUAAACUGUUUCAUGAUUAAAAGCAUGGGCUUUACAGGCCCAAAGCCCACAGAAUGAAUUUAAGCUCUUCCACUUCAUGGCUGAGCAGUUUUGAGACAGUUCUUGCCCUCUCUAAACUUCCAUUUAAUCCUGGAAUAAUAAUGUUAGUAUUGGAACUCAUCAUCCUAUUAUUAUAUGGGGAUAAUAAUAUUUUCCACUCUACAGUAUUGUUGUGAAAAUUAAAUUUGAUCAUGCUUUCAAAGCCUUUACCACAGUGCCUUGUUCAAAGGUAAUACCUCAAUAACAGUAGUUAUUGUUUUUAUUUCACUGCAUUUAGUGAAACCAUUGCCCUUCCUUUCACUACAGCAUGUUUGAUUUUUUUUUCAUGUAAUCUGAACACAUGACCAAUAUUAAGCUGGCAAGUUAUUGGAAAUACACUCUGGUCAUUUAAAUGUACCAUUGAUUUGUAUAUGCUCAUUUACACAUGUGUGUUAAGUAUGGAAAAGAAUGCCUGCCCAGAAUUCCUAUUCCUAGGACUAUCUCUUCAUAAUCACAAAUGUGUAAUCAAUCCACAAGAUUACAGAAGGAGCUGCCCUGUUGGGACAAGGUGGCUCCACCCCAUGGCCACAGUUGUCUGGUUGAUCAAAACAGAAUGAGGCAGAAUGUGGAGAGAAGAAUGAAGCAGAAACUGAGAGAACCCAUAUUAGAUUGGUUUUAAGUUCCAGGCCUCAACUCAUACGUUAGGUUGGAGCACAAUCUUAUGUUUGAGUUCUAUGUGAAACCCCCAAAUCCCUACAAUAACUCAUGUUUUUGCUUAUCCAACUUGAGCUGUGUUUCUGUUACUUACCACCCCAAAAGUUCUGAUUGAUAUAAUGUGAAUAUGACACAGACAAAUAUAGCUAACUUUCUCACUUACCCAUGGCUGGAAAACAAUAAAGAGAUUUGACUCAUCACUCAGAAAAAGAUUUGUAAAUCUACAUAAUUUAUUUGCAAAGCUCUAUCAUGCACACAUUGCCUCCAUUUAAAAAUAGUCACCACAAAUCUGAAGAUUGGGAGGUUUAGAAAAUUCAGAAUAUAACCGAAUGAGUACAUGUCUGCAGAUCUUCACCUCACCCAACUCUAUUUAGACAUCAUAAAAGCACUUAUAUAAAAUAAGACAGAUUUCUUCUAGAUUGAAAAAAGGUAACAGAGAAAUGACAGGACUUGGCCUAAAUAUAGUUAAAUAACACAAGCAGACAGAAUGCAAAUGAAUAUAUUUUGUGUGUGGAAUAGAUAUGCUGCUAAUUGCGUUCACUUAUUAUCAUAGAAAUGACAUGUUUUCAGCUUUCGUUAUAUGCCGCCACAGUUAAUAAUUGAAACACAAACACAUGAAACAGUAAUUUAGUGGCAGAGUUUGUAAUUACAAAAGUAUAGUAAGGGUUUGUUUUGUAAACAUAUGUGAAACUCCUUUGUACAUGGAGUAAUUAACAUAAACGUAAAAAUUUAAGAAAACCUUAAGAAAUUCAGCUGUAGUCAAAUCAAACCAAAGCACUGGUCAAAAUAAAGCCGUGUAGAGCUUCAUAGGGCCAAAGGUUUUCAAAAGCUCUUGCUUGAGACAUGAACCGGUUAAAGCUCUUAAAAACAGUAGGCAUGUUUUGAAAUAUACAAGUAAUAUUUAUUUUAGAAAUAAAAGCUAGGAUUCUCUGUUUUGAGUGGUCCUACAAUGGCCCUUUAGCUUCUCUAAUGGGUUGACUAGUGUGAGAUAGUGGCUAAUUCAGAGCUUAUUUUUAUUUAUUUAUUUAUUGGCCACAUCUGUGGCAUAUUAAGUUCCUGAGCCAGGGACCCAACCCAAGCCACAGCAGUAACAAUCCUGAAUCCUCAAUUGUCGGGCCACCCAGGGAACUCUCAGACCCUGGUUUUAAAUUAUUGCUCUGCCAUUAAUUAUCUGGUCAUGAGCAAGGACUUCACUGUCUAUGAGCCUUGGCUUCCUCAUCUAAUAAGACAGAUAUUUCACUUAGAUAAUAUAUGUAUUUUAAAAACCAGUUAUACUGAUUCCCAUAAAAAUAUUAGGUACUGAAUAAUUAUUAGGGGAUGUAGAUAUUCCUUCUGGAUACCUUUAUUUAUAGACUAGAAGAAAUAGAUAGUUUUGUAUAACUAAUCUGUCAUUGUAAUACAUUCUGGUACUAAAUCCAGAUGAUUUUCUUUGGUAUAUGAAUUCAAUUAGUCAAGAGGCAUAGGUGUAAAAUUUUACUCUACUAGGCUCUCUGCUAAGCAUCUUACAGACCAUCUCAUUGAAUUUUCAAAAUAACUGUAUCAAAUAACCAUUAUCUUCCCAAUUUUAUCGACUAAAAAAUAAGAUUCAGAAACACUAGCUAUCUUACCCAUAAACAAACAUAAUAACUCAUGAAGCUGGAACUUGAAACCUGGUAGUCAAAAUCCAAACAAUUAUAAAAAACUGAUUUUUAUCCUUUCUAUGCUACAUUUAAUGACUCCAGUAGCUUUUUCAUGUGCCAGAUCAUUCAAAAACAUAGAUUUAUUCUCAUAGAAAAUAAUAUGAUCUGGAAUAAUAUUGGCCCUAAAAAUCAUAAUAAAAAGAAAAGAAGUGAGAUAUUCAAGGAAUUAGAGGAAUUUGAAUAUGAAAAAAAAAAAGUAGAACUUAGUGUCUCAGUGUUACCUUCUCUGUGGCCCAAAGAAUGACAUUCAAUUUCUAAACAAGCCUAAGUAAGCCCUACCGUGUUCCAGGUUUAUAGUUAGGAAUGUAAAGGGUGAGAUGUAAUCCAGGUAGACCAUCAGGUCACUGGUCUGCCCUUGAAAAAAUUUAGACUCUCUACUGCCCCUGGUCCAGCCCAUUGAUUUAACCUCAGCCUGGGAACCAUAAGUGGGUUAUCUUAGCAUAAGAACACAGAGAAAAGGAAAACCAUCAAGAAAAGGAGAUGAUUUUUCAGCUAAUCCAAGCAGAGCACAUUAUUAUUUUUUGACAGACAUGAAUAUUAGCAAAGGAAUAUUUGGGGUACCUGAAAAACCCUUCAUUUUCUUCGGUGGGCACAUGCACUCAUCUUAAUGUGAAAAGCACAGAAAUCCCUAUCUCCCAGCUCUCUAUUUCUGAACAUGCUCAACAAAGGGUGCACUCAGAUGAAACAUCAGUUAGCUUUUUCUUUCAUUGGGAAUGUGCUUAUUAACUGUUGUUCAAAUAGUUUGUAGACAUAACAGCCCUGGGAGUGAAUGUGGCUUUGUUAUUUACAAGGUAGUCAUUUGUUGUUAUUUAUAGUUCUUUUAAUUUUCACCUUUUUACAUUUAAAUUUUUCUCCAAAGGUUAUGAUUAAAAUAGGUAAUACUUAAGAGAGGAAAAACUCCCUUUAAUGUGCUUCUUUUCCACAGAGAUUUUCAAGCUUCAGAAUCCAGGGGUGCCCAAUUUGUUCCUUUGUCAAUUUUACGGACAUUUAUAAUUUGUUUUCCAAGAAAAACAAUCAUGGUGUCAUUAUGCAAAACUAUGACAGAGCCUCUUUUAGCAGAGGUCAUCAUUCUAAACAGAUGUUCUUCCUUUCAUCUGUUAGCUAAAUUGCUUCAAAUAAGAGAAGUAAAGGAAAUUAACAUUUAUUUAAAGUGUUAACAGCACAAGACUCUCUGCUGGCUAAUAGAUGUUCAUUUUCCUAUGUAAUUCUCGAACUAGUAAUGUCGGUAUUAUUAUGGGUUGCUGCACAGAAGAAUGGCUAAGGGGAUAACUUUAAUAUUGCACACAUCUGGGUCUGCCUCUAAACUUUGUGAUUUAUCAGCUGUAUAACCUUGAACAGAUUACUUAAAGUCUUUUUUAUCUCGAGUUCAUAUCUGUAUUAAACAUAGAAAAUACUAGCAUACAUGGUAAAAGCACACUAUAAGAAUUAAUGAUGGAAUGCACAUUGAGCUCUUAACACAUGCCUAAUAUCCUUACUAUUAGUGCUUUUCACUUCUCAGAGGGACAGAGUGAGGCAGAAGACUCCACUCAGCAAGUAAGGAACAGGGUUACUUAAAACUGGAUCUUUUUUACUCCCAAAAUAAUGCUCUUUGAAUUAUACUGCAAUAGGAUAAGUGAUGACCAAAUGAGAUUUUGUGAAAUAUGAUAGAGAGGAACAAUAUUUUUCAAUAUAUUGUUAAGAAUGCUAGGAAAUUAUUCAUAUGGUCAUGUCU
rnacentral:lncRNA from 1 species